rnacentral:misc_RNA from 1 species
GUAAGUUUUUAGCUUCUCUAUCACAAUCCCAAUGUAACCUUAAUAUUGUAAGCCAAAACAUGGGCGUCAUUGUUAAAUAAAUGGGCAUUUAAUAUGAGGUGUGUGUGUAUAUAUACCGGUGACUUCAACAGACAUUCAUCAAAUUUACAACUCUUCCCUACUCUCAAUCCAAACAACUGAUAACCCACUAAUCAUUUCAGCAUUUGCUUUGUCUUAGUGUAUAUAUUUAUAUAAAACAAUUUAGCUGGUUAAUUAUUCCAGAUCAUGCCAUCUAAGACCUUAUUAAUUCGUGCAGUUGUACAUGAAAUAUAUAUAUAUAUAUGUGUGUG